rnacentral:lncRNA from 1 species
CCGGGAAACCAACUGACCUUUCAAGGAUGCGCCAAAUACUUGUGAAACUCAAGCACAAUCCUCCUCCUCAUAUGAACCCAAAACCACCACCACCACCACAAACAGAACCUACCAAAGAUGCAAAAACCAGCCCUGCUGUUGGUUCUGGCACUGCUACCUCAAAGCCUGCAGCCCCUGCAACUCCCAAGGGUGUGGCUGCAGCUUGAGAGACAUUCUACCUCCCUGCUGAAUCUGCUUAUGUGAAGAGUAACUAGCUAUGUUUCAGAAAUGUUUAUUUGGUAUGAUCUUGAACAUUAUGAUGUCUGAAAGUUUGUUAUUGUGAUCAUGCUAAUCUAAGCAUGUGGCAGUAAUCUUGUAGAUUUUUUUUUUUUUUUUUUCUGUAUCUAUUUUGUUGAUUGAUCAUUUUGGUGCGGUUUGUCUUGUGAACUUUUCCUUCAUCGUCUUCCUUUAAACCUUCAACCGUCCGUUUAGUUUGUUUCCCCGGAGUAUUUCAGUUUAAAGACUCCACUAAAGUAGUGGAACAGUGCAGUCACCAUCAGAAGGUGCUGGGAUGAGCUUUGUUUUGCCUCAGGUCAUGAGUAUGGCGCUGUCAGUAAGCAGGGAAAACUACUUAGCUGUUCUGUGAUUGAUAAUGGGAUGCGACAAAUUAAUAGUUAUUAUUGAACUCAAGACCAAUUUAACAGUUCAUUUUGCAGUUACUCAUGGAUGCUCAUUUGGUUAGUCCCAAAGGCCAGGUAGAUGGUGAGACAAACAAGUAGUUGAAGACCAAUAGAAAAGAAUGAGAUAUACAUUCAACUGCUAACAACAAAUUACGCCUUUGGACCGACAAAUCUGCAAUCAACUACACACUAAUGAGUCUAUCCUCUACCCCACCAAACCCCCGCACCCCCCAUUUUUGGAGGGGGAACUUUGAUCUCAAUUUAUAAACAUCAUAAUGGAAACGAAAGAAUAUAGUAAUUCUAUCACCUAGCUAGUUGAGCCGAGGUGGGUACCUCAUGAUCUACAGAUCUCUUGCCCUUGUGCUUUUGAGAAGACGAUGUCUCUGAGCUACUGGCGCCCAAAGAAUAGGAGGUGUUGCCUCUGUAGACCCCUGGCUCUGUCAGUGCUUUCUCAUUCAGAUGGACAUCUUUGGAAAGCAUCUCCACCACCUGCUUCAUUGUUGGUCUGUAAUGCGCACCUGCUUGGGUGCAAAAGAGCCCAACCUUGAUGAAGCGCAUAACCUCCUUUUCUGGAAAUUGAGUCAGCUCUGGGUCAACUAUUUCCAGAAGUCUUCCCUCUUCUCUCAGUUUCCAUGUCUGCAAAAGCAUACAAAUUUUAGUCAUCAAACACUGUAAAACUUGUCCAUCUGGGACAAACAAUAAUUGGUUUUGCCAAGAAUUUUGGAUUUUUCUCAGUCCAAUGUAAAAUAGUAUGGAUCUACAAUAUCAUCAACCAUGCCCUUUGUUUUUUUUUUUUUUUUUUUUUAUUUAAAAGGAGAUAAUUCCAAAUAUCCCAAAAAGAAUCCAAGAGGAACUAAGGACGCAAUGAUACAUAAUAAUAAGAUAAGAAGCCCGAUUAAAAUCAAAGCUUCCCUCUCCCAUUGGCAAAGCUGCUUUAUCUCUCAUUAUAUGACAAGACUAACCGACAGAGACAGGAGUCUACAACUUCCACAAGAUAUGACACAAUUUCCAAAGAUGGAUUUAAUGAGGUGUCAAAACUAUUAAUGCAGAUGAGAUAAAAAGGUAAUAUAUGGUAUGGAUACAUCAACUUCUGUUCCGAGUGAGUUAUCGUGCCAUGACCUUCUAUGUCCUGAACUAUUUAAUGAUACACAUGUUGUGUGAUUCUACAGAUUAUAGGACUAGUGUUAAUAUCAUGGUCCAGGUUUAUCCAUCAACAGUGAGUCAAUUGGUUGUCAAUGCUUAACAAGAAAUGUUCACCCUCUGAUACUGUAAAUAGAGCCCUAUGGGGUUCAGUGAAACAAAGAAAGUCUCAGAUUUGGCAUCUGCACUUUAUAUCUAAUAAAAUAAGACCAACAUGACUUAGAAGAUUCAGCAGCAGAUAAAGUCUAGAGAGAUACCCAUUCAACUAGAAUUAACAUAUCAUCUCCAAAUGCUGCCUUGCUACUACUUCUGCCACUAAUUAUUUCAAGUAAAAGCACACCGAAACUGUACACAUCAGCCUUCUUUGUAAGCUGUCCGAGUAGGGCAUACUCUGGGGCCAGAUAUCCCCUGCAGACAUGGAAGAAAACCCAGAGAUGUGAAAAGAAGCAAAAACAGACAAAACAGACCUAUUAGCAAACCACAAGAAGCCCGAAAAUCCUACUUGAACUAGCUAUCUUUACAAACUUCUGAAGAAAUAAAUGGCCCAGGAAAAUUAAUGGUAAAACAAAAUCCAAUUAAGUGUCCUGCUUACAUCGUUCCAGCAACUCGAGUACUGACAUGGGUGACAUUGUCCGGAAAGAGUUUUGCAAGCCCAAAAUCUCCUAUUUUAGGAUGAAAGUUUCCAUCAAGAAGUACAUUACUAGCCUUAAUAUCUCUGUGGACAAUAGGUGGGUCAGCUUCUUCAUGAAGAAAUGAAAGACCAGAAGCUGUACCCAGGCAAAUAUUUGCUCUUGUAGGCCAGUCCAGAGAAACAUAUUUACUCUUUGAACCUGCAAUGAUAAGCACCAGACAUUAGAGCAUAUAAACUUCGAAAGCUCAUCUAAAUCCAUAAUUUCUUUAACACAAAUACACACAUGAACAUAAUACAAACCUCGAACAUACAAACACAUUUUCCUACCAGAACAAGACUCACAAAUGUUCUUCCAAAUAGUGCAAUUCGGAGAGAUGAGAUUAUAUUUACCUAAUAAUGCAUUUGCAAGGCUGUUAUUCUCCAGAUAUUCAUACACCAAAAUCCUAUUAUUGUCCUCAACACAACAACCGAUAAGUUGGACUAGGUUCGGAUGACGAAUGUUCCAUAUCAUAUCAAUCUCUGUCAAGAAUUCCUUCGUUCCUUGUUUGGAUUCUGCAGACAGACACUUGAUGGCUAUUUGGGCACCAUCUCUUAAAGUACCCUGCAACGACAAAUAAUUAAGCACAUUAGUAUUAAAAUUUUAGCUAGAACCUAAAAGUAACAGCACAAUGGUCAUUUUUCUUAAUCUCACCCUAUAGACAACUCCAAAAGCACCCCCACCAAUCAUGUUAGAUGGAUGAAAAUCCCUGGUUGCCGAUCUCAACGAAUUGUAAGAAUACAACGUUAUAUUGUAGGUGGAGAUGCCUUAAUAAGCAACAAAAAGAUUAAAAAAAAAAGAAAUUAAACAACAUUCAAGAACCUCCGAAGCUGCAACUAAUAAUUGAGCGUAUACAAUCCAAGAGCAAUUGCAGUGUUUCUACAAAACAACAUAUAGCAACUUGAACAUGCUGAAUUAUUUUUAUUAUUACUAUCAUAUGAUUCAUGAACCAAAUUACAAAGCAAUUGGGUCGCUCUAAGUUCUCUCACCAUGUGCUUCAGCCUGAUCACUAUCUUUUCUUUUACAACAUUUGAAGGCACCAAAGCAACUCCAACUCAUUGCAAAAAACCGUCACCGAGUCUUGAGAGUCCACAAACAGAAAAACCCUUAAAACCAACAUGUCUAAGAUCAUCAAAACAGAAAUGUCUAAGAUCAUCAAAACAGAAAUACACAACAUGUCUAAGAUCAUCAAAACAGAAAUACAAAAAAAAAAAAAACAAAAACAAAAACAAUGAACAAAUAAUUUUAAAAAGUAAAAAAUUACUUUUUUAUUCACUGAGUCCUGAAUAUACUUGUUGAAACUUUGCUGGCUGACCAGUAACGUUUCUUGGGUUGUUUAGACAAGGAAAUCCAAGUUUGAUUGUAUAGACUAUUUAUAAGAAAAUUAUAUGAGAGAAGCAUCCGCGUAUCUAUUAAAAAACAAAAAAACAAAAGACAAAAAAAUGGGGUCUGUGAUUAUUUUAAUUAUUUAAUUUUCAUAUUAAUGAAUGAAUUGAGUGCCAAUGACAGAAAAAAAGGUUGAAAGGCUUUGUGACAAAUGAUAAUGACAAUGGUUUCAUUUUUUUUUUUUUUUUGCUCGAUUUCCCGUGUGAAGGAAAGACACGGCAGGAGUACGUUUUUGGCUUUGCUGACAUGAAAGAAAGUCGUCGGGUGGGAGGUAGGUGACAUCGGUUAUCUUUUCCAUUACUUCUUUUAUUAAUUAGUUCAAAUAUUCUGUUCACUUGAAUAUUCAUAAAAUGGAGGGGUAGUUAAAUUUGGUAUGGGAAGAAUUUAAUUAAUAUAGGGUGUGUUUGGAAAUGAUGUAUUGUAAUUUUUAAAUUACAGUUGUUAUGAAAAAAAUUAUAAAUAUGAAAUAAAAAUUAGUAAUAUAUUGUAAAUGUAAAUUUUAAAUAAUAAUUUUAAUAAAAUUAUUAAAGAUAUAAUAGAUUUUUCAUUAUACAAGUGAAAAAUCAUUUCAAUAUAUCUUUCAAACUACAACAGUUAGUGUUUACCAAAAAUUUUAGUACUCUAACUUUUAAACUACAACUGGCCAACCUCAAUCUCAAAUGCACCUAUAAUUUAAAUAAAUUUAUAUUUGAAGAAUGUUUUUAGGAGAAAAUCUAUUCUUUCACUCUUUUAUUUGUCAUAUAGAUAAGUUAAUAAGUCUUUUAAGAGUAAAAUUAAAUGAGUUAUUUGGUGAUGUUACAUAUAAUCUUUUAUAUGAUGGUGAUAUUUUCACCCUAUAAUUUUUUAUAAACCCAUCCCAAGAAAUAAUUACAAAAAUUUCAUAUUACUUUUAAAAAAUAAAGAAAGAGGAAUUUUGGAGAUUUAAUUAAAUAAAUUAAAUACCUAUUAGGUAUAAGAACUCAUUCUUUUGGGGUCAAUUUGGUCAUUUUAUAAAUAUUAGGGUAAAAUAAUUAAAUAAAACUUAUUUUAAAGCAAUUUUAAUGGUCAAUAGUACCUAAGUUAAAAAAAAUAAGAAAAUUAUUUUUUUUUUAAGUAAGGGGUGGGCAAAGCCCAAAUAGGUUUUUAUUUUGCCCCCUUACUACCCCCAAGACUCGAAUCCGGACGUUAUCGGUUAACAAGCUUGAUGCUAUUAAGAAAAUGAUUUAAUUGAUUAACUGUCAAACUUUUCUUCGUACAUUUUAAAACUAAUGCAAGUUUAUUUUAAUUAUUUUCUUAACGUGAGGUGGAUUUACAUAAAAUAUUAGAUAAAAUAUCCCCAUUCUCUUUCAUAUUGUGAUGAUUUUUUCAAUAACCAACUUAAUUUUGUUCAUUUAUAUCAAAUAGGACCUUAAACUCUUAUUCAAAUGAUCAAAAUCAAAUUAUCUUUAAAAUAUUGGUGAAAAUCAUCUUAGGGUUAAAUGCUUCUCAUUUUUAUGGGAAGGAUGUAAGCGAUUAAGUCUCCCUGGUUGAAUGUAGAAUAUAUUUCUUUUCAUAUGAUUUAUUUCGAGUAGAUUCCUUUUUUCAAUUUAGAAUUGAUGUUUGAGUUGCAUUUGUUAACUUGUUGUUAUAAACUUAUAAUGAUGAAAGUUGAUAUUGACAAAAUUUUUUGUUGUAAAUUUUUGAAUUCAUCCUUAUUGUGCUAAGUAAGGUGAAUUUAGGCAUAUUUGUGAUUCAAAAUUUUAAAAUAGUAAUAAUAACACGUCUAUGAUAUCGUGAAUCAGCAUUAACUGUAAAAUUUUGUAAAUUUAAAAAAAUGGAACAUAAGAUUUUUAAAUGGAAGGUAAAAAAAAUAAAUUAAUAUAAAACUUAUAAAUUGAUGUAUUAUUAGUAAACAAAAUAAAAAUUUAUAAAUAUAAUGUGAAAUAAAAUAUAAAAUUUGGAAAUGGAACAUAAAAUUUGUAAAUCGAAGGUAAAACAAGUAAAUUAAUACAAAACUUGAAAAUUGAUAUAUUACUAGUGAAUAAAACAAAAAUUUGUAAACAUAACAUACAACCAGUAAAUUUACAUUGCAAAAUAAAUAAAAAUUUUAAAAACAGAACAUAAAACUUAUAAAUAAAAAGUAAAACAAGUAAAUUGAUAUAAAACUGGUAAAUUGAUAUAUUAUUUUAAAAUAAAACAAGAACUUGCAAAUACAACAUAAACUAGUAAAUCAACAUUGUAAAAUAAAAAAAAUAGAAAUAAAACAUAAGACUUAUAAAUGGAAGGUAAAACAAGUAAAUCAUUAUGAAACUAUUAAAUUGAUGUAAUAUUAGUAAACAAACUACAAAAAAUUUACAAAUAUAGUAUAAAACUAGUAAAUCAACAUUAAAUGUAAAAUAAAACAUAAAUUUUAAAAAUGAAAUACAUGACUUGUAAAUGAAUGAUAACAUAGUAAAUUAAUAUAAGAGUGGUAAAUUGAAAUCUUACUAGUAUACAAAACAAAAACUUAUAAAUGUACUAUAAAAUUAUAAAUAAAUAUUAAGUGUAAAAUAAAAUGUAAAUUUUAUAUAUUACACCUAAAAGUUAUGAAUAGAAGGUGAAUAGUUAAAUUAAUAUAAGAGUUAUUGAGAAAAAUUACAAAUGUAAAAUAAAAACUCAUUUUAAUAUUAAUUACCUUACCUAUUUACUAACUAUAAAUAAAAUGAUAGUUUUGGAUUUAUAUAAUACAUGUGAUGUUUUAUUAAGGAUAAACCUUAUUCUUAAAAUUGGAUUUUUAAACUCUUUUUAAAUUUUUUUGAAACUAUUAUAAAAUAAGGUGAUUUCCCAUCUUUCUAUAUCCCUCAAUAGUAACUCUUGAAUGGUUUCUAAAUACAAGUAAAUAAAAAAGUUUCAAAUUAUAGGAGUAUGCAAAAGACUCAAAAUUAGAUAUAAUUUAUUGAUAUAUCAUAUAUGUGUCUAAUAAUAUAAAAAUAUCUUUUUAUUUUCUUUUGUCUCGAUUCACAUCAAGAUAAACAAUUCCACUUAAUUAACUUGUGUAGUAACAAAUGCGAUUAUACAAAUUGUAAAAAAAAAAAAUUAUAAAUGUCCUAAAUUGAAUACAGAAUUUAUGGUUAAAGCCAAUUCAAUAAAAUUUAUUCCACUUAUCUUUAGUAUCAUUUUUUUUUGUUUUCAGUUGAUUAGUGAUUUUUUUUUCUUUGAUUAAAGUAAAUGAAUAAGUUAUUUUAUACUAAACUUCUAUAGAAACUAUGUUAUGUUUUUAUCAUUAAAAGUCUUAUAUUAAUUUACUUAUUUUACCUUGUAUUUACUAAUUUUAUAUAUAAUUAACAAAAUUUAUAUUCGUACAGCAGAAAAUCUUCUCCUCCUCCUUCUUCUUCUUCUUCUUCUAUGUUUUUUUAAAUAAUUCAGAAAGUGAAUUUCAACAUUUGCUAUUGAUAAUGAUAUGAAAAAAAAAAAUUCUAAAUAUGAUAAACUUCUCGAGAACAUAUUUCUUUCUAAAAUUAAUGACGUGAGGCUAACAUAAUUAUCUCAUUAAAUGCGAGACAAAAAUAAUAAAAUCAUCACAAUACUGUCAUUAUUUAUUAUUCUUAUUAUUUUGUUGCUGUUAUUUAUUUUUUAUAUUAAUAUUAUUUAUAUUUUGAAAAAGAUAGGUUUAGGUGAAAGCAAAUCUAUAUCAAAUUUUUUUUAAUAUCUUUAUCUUUCUAGAAUUCGAGGGCCAAUCAAAGAAAGCUAAUUGAAUGGGGGCAUAUGAAGUGACUAUCACAAAUAAUAAAUUAGUAAAUAAAAUUCCAAUAAAUAAAUAGCCACUAUCUGAAUUAAAAAAAUAAGGAAAACAGGAAUGCUGCAACAAAACAGACGACAAGCAAGACCAAAAACGACCAGAAAUUUGACAAUUCAUUUAUUUCAUAACAACAACCGAUGAAAAGGAAAAGACUGAUUCUGCGCAGACAUCACAAAACAGGAAAAAAAAGUACCGGUUCAAAAUUCAAACCCAUAUCUACGUAAAAUAAAUUUGUCCUAAUUUCGUAAUGAAAUUUAGCCGCCACUUUAAUUGAACAGGUCCAGAAACUCAUUAACGUAGAAUGUCAAUGUUGGCAUACAAUUUGAGGCAAAUAGUCAUUAUUUCCUCUCCUACGCUUGUCAAAAUUUGCCCCAGAGGGACUGGCAAAACGGUUCUCCCAAAAAAUUUAGGGUUCAAAGUUCUUGUGCCCACGUUCCUUAAUUGGAGUAAUUACAGUUUUACCUGUGCUUCCGGAUAUAUAAGAUUCAAAUUAACAGAAAAAUAAUAAAAUGCUCAGUACAAUUGGACCUGAACAAUUAAGUUAAGCAACAAUAUCACGGAUGAAUUAAUGGGACUUGAUUAGACCCAAACAUUUCGGUAUAAUAAGAUUAAGAUUACGGGUGACUUCAACUCGACCAAAGAUUGGAUGGUGGACCACUGCCCUCACUUAACGAUUCGAAUUUUUUUUCUCAAUUAUAUUAUAUUGGGUGUAACUAGUUAUUUUCUUUGAAUGGAAUAAAUAUCCCUUUGAUGGUAGUUCUAAUAAUAACUAGAUAUUAAUGAAUAUAAAAUUUUAGAUUGUGUCAUGGUAAAUUUUAUUGAUGGUAAAUUCUUAGUUGUACAUAUCAAUUGAAAUAAUGUAUACACAUAUAUGUUUCAGGGGAAAAAAAAUGUUAAUGUUUGGUGUAAAUCAUUUUCUACUUAUAGCCACUUAUUUAAUAGGACUAUUAAAAUAAAGUCCACAUUGUCCCCUAAAAUUUGAAUAAAACCCUUGUGUCGUUAUCAUCGUGUUGAAAUUUUGAACUUUAUACUGUAAGGCUGAGUUAGUUAAAAGUAACAUUAUGUUAAAUCAAGCUUACAAUCAUGAAUCUAAAUAUCCAAGAAAGGAAAAAAAAAAUUAGACAAACACCGAAAAAGAAUAAAAAAACAAAUUGCUCUCAAUGACUAAUUCAAGCUACAUCCAGAUUAAAUGUCAGCUAUUAGAAAAAAAAAAACAAUGUGGAAAAUCUAUAUUAUUCUAGAGAAGUAAAAGAGGGGUCAGAUUUUCUUAUCUUAUAUAUAUAUAUAUAUACUGCUGUACCGUACAUCCGCCUUGGCCGUACAGCAGAGGGGCNNNNNNNNNNNNNNNNNNNNNNNNNNNNNNNNNNNNNNNNNNNNNNNNNNNNNNNNNNNNNNNNNNNNNNNNNNNNNNNNNNNNNNNNNNNNNNNNNNNNNNNNNNNNNNNNNNNNNNNNNNNNNNNNNNNNNNNNNNNNNNNNNNNNNNNNNNNNNNNNNNNNNNNNNNNNNNNNNNNNNNNNNNNNNNNNNNNNNNNNNNNNNNNNNNNNNNNNNNNNNNNNNNNNNNNNNNNNNNNNNNNNNNNNNNNNNNNNNNNNNNNNNNNNNNNNNNNNNNNNNNNNNNNNNNNNNNNNNNNNNNNNNNNNNNNNNNNNNNNNNNNNNNNNNNNNNNNNNNNNNNNNNNNNNNNNNNNNNNNNNNNNNNNNNNNNNNNNNNNNNNNNNNNNNNNNNNNNNNNNNNNNNNNNNNNNNNNNNNNNNNNNNNNNNNNNNNNNNNNNNNNNNNNNNNNNNNNNNNNNNNNNNNNNNNNNNNNNNNNNNNNNNNNNNNNNNNNNNNNNNNNNNNNNNNNNNNNNNNNNNNNNNNNNNNNNNNNNNNNNNNNNNNNNNNNNNNNNNNNNNNNNNNNNNNNNNNNNNNNNNNNNNNNNNNNNNNNNNNNNNNNNNNNNNNNNNNNNNNNNNNNNNNCAGCAGUAUAUAUAUAUAUAUAUAUAUAUAGUCAUCAUUUUCUAUUUUUCCUGACCUUCACUGUGAAUUAUUCUUCUACCUGCUAUUUUUUAAUCUUUUAUGUUUUUACCAGAUCAAAGAAAGCGGUCAGCUCAAUUCCUCAUUUAGUCUAUGCAUUAUGCAUAUUUUUUUUUUUUAGAAAGAUUCAACGUGGCGGAAAAACUCUCUCUAAUAUUUAAUAAUAUUUCAUGAAUCUAUCAGAGUUUGAACUUAGGAUGUGAGUCUUAAUAAGAUUGUUCCUUUACCACUGGAACUAGAUUCAGCAACACCAAGUCAAUUAAAUUUGUCUGUUAUCCUCUCAGAUUAUCCUACAAUAUUACAAUUACUUUAUUUUUAAAAAAUUUACCCCACAAGUAUGUGUUAUAUAAUAUUUUUUGGGCGAAUUUUGAUUUACGCCCACAAGAGUGUUCAAUAUACUCUCAAGGUUCUAAAAACAUCAAUGUAUUCCCAUUUACAGUUAAAAAGACAAAAUAAAAAUAAAAAUUAUAAAUGCGCCUCUUAUUUACCCUCAUCUCUUCUUAAUAAAAUGGAGAUAAUUAAUAUUUUCAUAACUUUAGGAGGUAAAUUAAAAAUUAUCAUUCUAGGUAGGAGUAAAUUGAAAUUUACUCAUUUUUAUGAUAAAGUUUUACUGAUUUAUAGAUCCGAGGUAAAUUUCUAUCUCCGGCCUACCCCUUCCCUUUCUUUACUUUAUUUUCCUUAGGAAUUAGGAAUUUAUCUCUAAAAAAGGCAUGACUGCUAGAAAUCAUAUAUGAACUUGUUCUAAGUGGAUUUAUUAACGGGAGUUUCAUAUUUAGUGGAGUCUUUCAUCAAGGGCGUUGGAUCAAAGUCCUUUUUUUUUUUUAAUAACUAAAAUCUCAUUUUUUGAUUCAAUAAAAACAUGGUAGAACCUCAUUAAAUUAAUAUUCGAUAAAUUGAUAAUCUCAAUAAUAAUUUUUGUCAGUCUUAAUUUUACACUAACGUGGUAAAUUAAUAAUUCAAUAAAUUUAUUAGAUAGUAAAUUUUCUAAAUAAGAAAAAUCUAAUUUUUCUACGUGAUUCAACAAACACACAAAUUAAUAAUUAACUAAUUUGAAACUAAAUACAUAUGAUAUGUCUAGCAUAAUGCUUUAGACAUUUCAUCAGUCAUUAUUGCUUUUUUUGCACAUUUUUUAUGAAAAGUUAUUGUUGUUUUCUAUGUACAAUGUUAAGAGAAAUAAGAGAAAGAUCAUCUUAAUAUAUUGCCUCCAAAAAGUCUUCUACAAUUAGUUACCAUAUAAUUGUGUUCUAGCCAUGCAAUCUACUGAAAGGAUUAUUUAGAAUCAUAUCAUAUAACUUGAUAAAAUCACUAAAUUUUUUAAUUAUACUACCAUAUUUCAUAAAAAUUCCUAUUAUGAACAUGAUAUUAUCUUUGUAAAUUAAUAACUUAUUAAUCUGUUGAUAAAUUAAUAUAUUUUUGAUGGUCGCAAAACUAUUAAUUUAUCGAGAUUGUAUUGUACCUUACUCUAAUUAGUCUAGAUUUUUUACUGUUAUAAAUUGUUUUCUGUUGUAAAUCUUAAUUUUUGGAGCCAAUUUUGAUGCUGAAAUAUUUUUUAAUUUUCAUAAUCAACAACCUAAAUAAAUAUUUCUUCCCAUGAUUAACAUAGUGACAUCCACCAAAACCAAAUAAAUUAAUACUACUAGCUUAUAAGAAAGCUCAAGCUAUAAUUAAAAACUCCUAACAUCACAAUCCUAGGCGUUUAGGGUCAAGCUGUGGCCACACUUAUGUAACAUGGCGGCAACUAAGAAGACCAAAUGAGGCAACAUUCAAAUAAUUAACAAAUAUUCGUUGAUGUUAAACAGCUCAACCAACCCAUGGAAAUUUGUUGAUGCAACAGAUAAUGAUGCUUUGAAAUGUUUGUGUUUCAUUAACUGGUAGAAAGAUUAAAGCAGGAGCUUUUUGAUUUCCAGAAAGCGAAGUUCAUAUACAAAUAGUCCUCAUCGCUCGAAAGAGAAGGGGAAAAAAAGUUCAAAUGAUGAUUCAGAAAGCUGAAUCAUCAGAAUCACUAAUACAGGUAACAUAUUGGAAACAUUACCUAAUAAAUGAUACAUAAAAGUAUUACAAUGCCAUGCAAUACCAGCUUCUUUAGAAACGGGUUGUUCCUUAAUCAUCAUGCUGGUGGAGCUUCUACAUACAGAAAUGGGUCACCUGCAGCUAUGCUGGCUGACAGGGGAGGAGUUUCCUCUCUCGCUCCCAAAAUCAUGAAUGUCAUCGAGUUCAUUUCCGUCUAAGAUAAAGGGGUUGUUGUUGACACUUGGUUCAGAGCUAGCAUUGCUGCUUGUGGCAAGAGGAGAGUCUGUAACACUAACUGUCCUACUUUUUAUGGAUCCUGAUCUCACACUAUACAUGGAAGAAGCUGGAAUGUUUGUCAUUAGUGGCCGCAAACUACCUGAAUUAAUGCUUCGCCUUAUAUCCUACAUAAAAAAGAAAAAAAAAUGAAUUAAUUCUUGCCACCAAAUGUGCAAAGCUUGUUGCUUCAAAUGUAUAUGUGCUGCAAGAUAUGAUUUUCAUUGCAGUUAAUAGAAUUUAUAGAGUGAAGCAAAUUGUGUAGUAGUAUCAUUACGCCAAUGCUACUAAUCAAUCCACAAAGCCAGCUUUGGCAAAGCUUCAUGGUAAAGUGCAAUGGGAAAUGCAUACCAUAUGUCUCAAAGCCAUAUCAAGAGAUUUCUUUGAGAGUGUUCUUCCAAAGCCUGAGCUAUCGACGGAUGAAGAUGACUUCCCAGCAGAAGUGUAAUGGGUGGAGUGAUUUUCCUGCUUCGGUGGUGCCAGCUUCCUCAUGUUCACCACCCUUUCGACCAUUUUGGUUCCAAUUACUACUGGGUUCACAUCAUCACCAUCACUGGCAUUUACUCUACGCGCAGAAGUAAUGCAGCCUCCAUUACCAUUUGAAGUCCUUACUCUAGAAGGAGAGCAGGACUGCUGUCUGCGUCUUCCCUUAGAACCAGCCUCAACAGAAGGUGAUUGAGCACUUGGUGCUCCUGGCCUGCCCCGAGAAGCUGAAGAUGGCCUUUCUGGCAAUGAUGUCCUUAAAUUUGGUGGUGCAUCAAGUGAAAAACCAGGCAUCUCAGAGGGUUUCCAAGGCCGAGAUUUUACAGUUGGGGAAGUGCCACGUGAUGGAGCUGAAUUUUUCACUGUUGUGGAACUUGACUUUGACACUGAAGAAGAACAACCAGGAGCCGCAGAUACGCCAGAUGCACCUGAUGGUGCUGAUCGUUGACGAGUUGGUGUAGCUGAUCUUACUGUUUGUCUAGAAGUUGGCGUAGUUGAUCUUACGGUUGCUCUAGAAGUUGGUGUAGCAGAUCUUGUUGUUGAUCUAGAAGUUGGUGUUGCUGAUCUUACUGUUGAUUUAGAAGUUGGUGUUGCUGAUCUUGGUGCUAGCUUAGGAGCUGUUACAGUGGGUCUAGCAGUUGGUGUUGACGAACGAGCUGUGGAUCUAGUCGGAGUUGAGGAUCUCACUGCUGGAGCCGUAGGCUUAGAUGAUGGCAAGGUGGCCCGUGAUGUAGGCGUAGAUGGUCUUGAAGACUUAGCUGUUGAGUUUAAAGUGGGGCGUCCAGUUGGUGUAGCAGCUCUAGCACUAGAUGUUCGUCCACCAGAAGAUGAUGGCCUGCUGUCACCAGUACUGGAAGAGUUCACCCUAGAAGGCAAAUUGGGAUUCUUAGAAAGGACACUACCCCUCGAAGCAGGAUCUUCCUGAACAUUUGCCAGCUGCAAGUCCAUGGAAGCAGGAAUUUACAAGCUAUUACAUAAAUGGUAAUACCACAAAUUUUCUUAACCACCAAAAGACAGUACCAUCAAUCAUCAUAACUUGACAAUCAUUAAAGCUUGGCGAAAUAUCCCAGCGAGAUCAUACACACAAACGUAUUACAGUUGACGAGGCUUGAAAGCAUCUAGAACUUUAUAUACAUAGAAACUUACCCUUGUUUUCAGAGCAGUUGGACGAGCAUUAGGCAUCUCCAUCUGAUUCAGUUUGGCUUUUUGUGAUUCCAUCUCCAAGGAAGGAAAAACUGCUGUACGGCCAAGGCGGAUGUACGGUACAGCAGUAGUUUAUCAAUACUCAUUAAUAAAAUAUGUUAUAGCAAAAUUAUGAAAAACAGUGCAAGAGUUCAACAGUUCAUGUCUAUUUGUGCCAAAACUCAAAUGAUAGUUGCAAAAUUCUUCACGAUGAUGGCGGCCAGUUGGCUUCCAUUUGUAGUUUUGUGUGCUUGGCUUUCUUUUAAAGCUUGGAUGCACGGUGAUCGGAGAGGAAGAAGAGAGUAAAAAAUGUUGAUGUAAGGGUAGUUUGGUAAUACGUAGGGUUUAUUUAUAAAUAAUUUGAUUUGCAAUGUUUUUGUGGGGUGUAUUUAUAAUUGGACUGGUAUUAUAAAAUAAAUGGAGCGGAGACAUCGUCACCUCUGAUAAUUACGUUAAAUGAAUUAAUAUAGUUUUGUUUUGACCGCACGCCAAAUUCUCUUCUAAUGAGAUAAUCUCAUUUAGUUUAUGUUAUUAGUCAAAUUUUAUUCUUUUAAAAAUUUAUUUGUUUUUCUUUCUCUGGAAUCAAAUGAGGAAAUGAACAUUCAAUUCUAAAACCAUAUAAUGUAAUAAUGAGACAAAUUCAUUUAUUCCUUUUACUAUUAAUCUAUUAUCGUUUAAAGGGAUAUCAUCAUUUUACCACCUAAUGUUUUCUAACAUAUAAUUUUAUCACUAAAGUUCGCAAUUUCUUUUUCGCACUUAAUGUUUUAAUUUCUUUUAUUUUGUUAAUGAAUUACUAAUGUUGCAUUGGUAUUUUAAGAAUUUCAGUAUAUUCAGUGUUGAAGGAAUUUCACAAGAUAUAAUAUUCACAAUUUUAUUAGUUAAUUAUUUUAGAUAUAUAUAAUAAGCAAUCGAAAAAAAAGUAUUACUUCUUUGUAUAUAAUUAAUUUUAUAUUUUUUAAACAUGGAUGGUUAAAUUACAGUUACACAAUUUAGUGGUAAAAGAUUUUUACUAUCAUUUAUGUUUAAAAUUUGUUAAAAUAAAAUGAUAAAAACUGAUAUUAAUUGAGAAAAAUAAUAAUCAUAAAAAUUUGGUGAUAAAAUAAUAUGUCCAAAAACAUCAGACGGUUAAAUAAUCCAAGACAAUUUUUUAUGUGUGUUAGAAGAAAAAAAAAAUUAAUUUGAUGUUAGUGAGAGGAUCCAUUCCUCCUGAACUCUAAGCCGGAAAGACAAAGUAACUAAUUGGGCUUAAGGGCAAAAACCAGUCAACCCAAACCCAACAUACAAUUUUAGGUGGGCCUAAAACUUAUGCCCGCAUCGAGCAUACGAAGCUGGAAGGAACAAAACAGGAUUAUUAAUUAAUUUUAUAAAUGAAAUUUAAAGCGUUAAAUUUGAAAAUUUCAUUUAGAUUUAAGGUCAAAUAUGAUAUAUAUUCAUCUAGCUGAAACCCUCGCCUGCAAUUGUUAAAGAAGGGUUAACCAAAUCACUAGGGCGUGUUUGGCAGUGGGCACUAAGUUUGGCGCACACACAGAGCACGGUCAGUACAAAGCUGGUCAAUUCGCCAGCCUUGGGCCAAAUGAGGCCCGCCCUCAUCGUGGGUUUUAGCGGGUCUGGUUAAUAUUAUAUUUUUUUAGUUCAGUCUUUAAUAUUAUUUAAUUUAAUUUAAUUAAUUAACUACUAAUGACUACUAACCAUAGUGAGUUGUCUCUGACUACCCUUAGCCAUUGUAACUUGUCACUGUUCACCAUCGUCAGGCACCAAGUAUCUAUUUAUAUUAAAUAUUACAUCAUUUGAAUCUUCAUAUGGUCAGAAAAUAGACAUUUGUUUGUAGUGAUUUUAUGCCAAAUUUUAAAUUGAAGUUUAACUAUCAAUCUAUGAUCAACGAAAGUUCUAUUAUAGGAAAUGUUGCUGCUAGCGCAGACAAAAAUUCUAACUUAAAAUUAAAAAAUAACAACAGCAAAGUGUACCAACAAAAAUGAGUGAGAUUUUAACUUUAAUUAAACGAAUAACAAAAGAAAAGAUAUAGCUAAAACAACAUGAGUGAUAUUUUACACUUCAAUUAAUAAAAAAUAAACAGAGAGAAAGGAUAUUUAAUUAAUCAAGUGAAAAUCUUCUCUUACGUUAAAACAACAUGAUUGAGAUUUUAACUUUAAUUUAAAAAAAUGAAAGAGAAAGAAACCAUUUUUAAUUAAUCAAAUUAGUCUAAAAAUAGAUGAUUAACAAUAAUAUACCAAUCGUCAAACACUCUUUAGUAAACCGAAAAUCUCUUUUAUUUUAUUUUUAAAGUCAAUGGUUCAAAAUGUCUCGCGCCGUUAUAAAAUUAGAACAUUUAUAAUUUAAGCCUAUUCAAUCUUGAACUAUAAUAUCUCUUUAUAAUAUUAAAAGAAAAUAACAACGACAAUGUUCACCACCUAAAAAAUAAAAAUAAACACGUUAAAUAGGAAAAAAAGUUAAAAUCAAUUUGAGUCCAAUAACUUGGACUCUCUGAAUAUAUUCUCAAGACCACGAGCAAAGCAUCUCUUACGACGCAUUGUUUAUUCCACGUAACGGAAACCACUCAUCACGCAGUAGAUGAUGAAUAUUCGAUGUGGUGGGGACAUUCUAGCAAAAAGGUGGCACUGACAGCAACGACUGGACUUCAACACAGUCAAUUUCCACACUACCUCAAUACUUGUCAACACAGCACUAACUCAAACACUUGACAAACCCAUUCAUCAGCUGACACGUAAUUAGUAGCACCAAACUUGCAUGCACCUAAAAUAAUAACCGUUUCUGUUGUGUUUAAGGAACACUCGGGACGCAUUAGAUUCGUUUUUCUCACCGAAACAUUUGGCAGAGAAAGCGUCUGCGGUCACGACCACAACCAUGUCAUCAUCGUUCACCGGCUCAUUCGGUGACGAUGACUUCAUGGCCUACGAUCCUCGUCUUGCUUCGCAGGGAUUCAACUCAUCGUUCUCGCAAUUCGAGGGGGACUCUGUAAAGGACUCAGCCGGUGACUCGUCUCCGAUCUUCAGUAGCCAGUCCUACGGAGCUGGCGACGAAGUGUUCUCGUCCAAUCCGCUGCCGGAUACUCCAUCGCCGCCGUCGAUCUACGCCGCCGGUGGUGGAUUCUCAAGUUUCUCGCCGGAGCGGAACGGUAAGAGUUUUGGUGGAGGUUUUGGUGCCGAGGAUGAUUCGAUCUUGCCGCCGCCAACGGAGAUGCCGGCUGAGGAAGGCUUUGCUCUCAGAGAGUGGCGUAGGUGAGCUCGCUAUUUCGUUUACUUAUAUAAUUGUUUUAUAUGCCUAUUGCCUAUUGAUUGAGUGCUGUGUGAAUCAGUCUUGUGGCUAGUUCCGCUGAGCUUCUUUGUAUAGAUAUUUUAAAAAAAUAUUAAUUUAGGUUGGCUUUCAUUCAAUUUCUUAUUUUUAUUAUUUUUACAAUAUGCACUAGACGUCCAUCUAAAGUAGACUAAGGAAUCGAAUCGGCAAAUAAUCAAAGCAAAUCUUUAUCAAUUAAUUGACUUGUCGGUUAUAUUCAGCGGUUAGUGAUUUCGUUAUACGGAUUAAAAGCCACUACAUCUCAAUACCAAGCUGGUACAGUCUCACUAGUACUUUUCUUAGGACCUAUAGCUGGAAUGAUUAAUCAACAAAUAAGAGUAGAUUUAAUUAAAAGAUAGAGUUGGUUGCUUCGAGGGAACCAAGACCUUCAAAGAAUUGCUACUUGACUCAACUUUUUGCAUAACAAACAUAACAUGGAGUUUAAGCAUUGCAUUAUCAGAAACGAAAUUACCUCUUCAUGACCUCUUGUACUGCAUUUAUAGUAGUUGGAUUUUAUUUUGAUUUUUUUUUAAAUAGCAAUUUUGGUGAUUGUGUAUGAAGAUCUUGGCUGAUUUGAAGUGUGAUUGUGGGUGGGAGAUGUGCAGACAAAAUGCGAUAAGGCUUGAACAAAAGGAGAAGAAGGAGAGAGAGAUGUUAAGGGAGAUAAUUGAGGAAGCAGAGCAGUACAAAGUUGAGUUCUAUAGGAAGCGAGCACUUGCUGUUGAGAAUAACAAAGCUUCUAAUAGGGAAAAGGAAAAGGUAAGAUCCACCUGCACCUGAUACUCUGUUGUUCUCUUUCAUCUUCUUAUAUAUUAUUUGUGAAUUUGCAUCCUUAUGUGCCUGUAGAAACAUAGGAUUAAGAUUGGAAGUGGGAUCGGUACAGUAACAACAACUAAUAAUCAGUUAAUUGUGGAUGGAUAUUCAUUAAUUAGUGUCGUUAUACUUGGCUUAUUGCAGAUUGUUCAGUAGUAAACUGCAUGUCUAGAGUAUUGUACAUUGAUUAAAUGUGUGCUGUGUUAAAUACAUUUUGCAAAUGUUAGAUGUACUUAGAACUGACACUGAAUAUGAUGUCUCAGCUGUUUCUGGCAAGUUGGGAGAAGUUUCAUGGUGAAGCUGAGAAGAAUUACUGGAAGGCAAUUGCAGAACUCAUUCCUUACGAGGUGCCAGCUAUAGAGAAAAGGGGGAAGAAAAAAGAUCAAGAGAAGAAGAAGCCUUCCAUCAUUGUGAUCCAGGGGCCUAAGCCCGGGAAACCAACUGACCUUUCAAGGAUGCGCCAAAUACUUGUGAAACUCAAGCACAAUCCUCCUCCUCAUAUGAACCCAAAACCACCACCACCACCACAAACAGAACCUACCAAAGAUGCAAAAACCAGCCCUGCUGUUGGUUCUGGCACUGCUACCUCAAAGCCUGCAGCCCCUGCAACUCCCAAGGGUGUGGCUGCAGCUUGAGAGACAUUCUACCUCCCUGCUGAAUCUGCUUAUGUGAAGAGUAACUAGCUAUGUUUCAGAAAUGUUUAUUUGGUAUGAUCUUGAACAUUAUGAUGUCUGAAAGUUUGUUAUUGUGAUCAUGCUAAUCUAAGCAUGUGG